GACGAACGCUGGCGGCGUGCCUAAUACAUGCAAGUAGAACGCUGAAGGAGGAGCUUGCUUCUCUGGAUGAGUUGCGAACGGGUGAGUAACGCGUAGGUAACCUGCCUGGUAGCGGGGGAUAACUAUUGGAAACGAUAGCUAAUACCGCAUAAGAGUAGAUGUUGCAUGACAUUUACUUAAAAGGUGCAAUUGCAUCACUACCAGAUGGACCUGCGUUGUAUUAGCUAGUUGGUGAGGUAACGGCUCACCAAGGCAACGAUACAUAGCCGACCGGAGAGGGUGAUCGGCCACACUGGGACUUAGACACGGCCCAGACUCCUACGGGAGGCAGCAGUAGGGAAUCUUCGGCAAUGGACGGAAGUCUGACCGAGCAACGCCGCGUGAGUGAAGAAGGUUUUCGGAUCGUAAAGCUCUGUUGUAAGAGAAGAACGAGUGUGAGAGUGGAAAGUUCACACUGUGACGGUAUCUUACCAGAAAGGGACGGCUAACUACGUG
rnacentral:rRNA from 1 species